GGUGCUGAGACUUAGAUGGUUAAAGUGCCUGUCUAGUAAAUAGGUGAUGCUGGGUUUGAAUCCCAACAGUGCCU